rnacentral:snRNA from 1 species
CUGGAAUACUUGAACUAC